UACGUAGGGUGCGAGCGUUAAUCGGAAUUACUGGGCGUAAAGCGUGCGCAGGCGGUUUUGCAAGCCGGAUGUGAAAUCCCCGGGCUUAACCUGGGAAUGGCAUUUGGGACUGCAAGGCUGGAGUGCGGCAGAGGAGACUGGAAUUCCUGGUGUAGCAGUGAAAUGCGUAGAUAUCUGGAGGAACACCGGUGGCGAAGGCGGCAUCCUGGACCAACACUGACACUGAGGAGCGAAAGCCAGGGGAGCAAACGGG
rnacentral:rRNA from 1 species